UUUUAGCCCCGACCGCAGCGGCAUCCUUUGUGUAUGCGCUAGCUUACACAAAGAUAUAGCGGAGAGCGGGAAACCAU
rnacentral:sRNA from 1 species